rnacentral:lncRNA from 1 species
GUUUAGAUCGAAAGGACCUGUGACUCUUCCAAAGGGAACUUUUACACACAGAGAAACCAAAACUAAGAGUUGUGUAAGUUUCCUGAGGUUAAGUGGUUAGAGAGAGAAGUGAUAGGAGGACCUGAUUCUCUCGCGACCAUGAUCACGUGAGAUUUCAGAGGGGCGCUGGUGAAGGCUGGAGCCAGACCUUUUCCUUCUGCCUCCCGUCCUCACUCUUCUGCAGCAGGGAUAACAACUUUCAGCACUGGAUGCAUGGAGUCUCAAAGAGUUGGACACAACUGAGCGACUGAACGGAACUGAACCGAGUGAUGCAAAAGUCAGUCUGUUCUUGGCCUCUACUUUAACCAGCUCUUCAUUCCUGCUGUGAAAUUCCUAAUGUUAGCUGCUAAUCGUCAUGUAAUUCUACCAAUUUGAGUUGUAUAUUUGUUUCCCAAAUUUGUACCUUUCCCUGUAAUUAUAUAAUGUGUUAUAUCAACCAACAAAAUAAUUGCCAAAUAUUUGCUCUAUGAAAACUGUUGAGCUCUUUAAGAAGAUUUGAUGAAAUAAAUUGCAAUAAAGGAUUCCCAGUCUUCUUGUGAAAAAGUAAGAAAAAAG